rnacentral:rRNA from 1 species
AUUGAACGCUGGCGGCAUGCCUUACACAUGCAAGUCGAACGGCAGCACGGGUGCUUGCACCUGGUGACGAGUGGCGAACGGGUGAGUAAUACAUCGGAACGUACCUUAUCGUGGGGGAUAACGCAGCGAAAGUUGCGCUAAUACCGCAUACGCCCUGAGGGGGAAAGCGGGGGACCGUAAGGCCUCGCGCGAUUAGAGCGGCCGAUGUCUGAUUAGCUUGUUGGUGAGGUAAAAGCUCACCAAGGCGAUGAUCAGUAGCUGGUCUGAGAGGACGAUCAGCCACACUGGGACUGAGACACGGCCCAGACUCCUACGGGAGGCAGCAGUGGGGAAUUUUGGACAGUGGGGGCAACCCUGAUCCAGCAAUGCCGCGUGAGUGAAGAAGGCCUUCGGGUUGUAAAGCUCUUUUGUCAGGGAAGAAACAGCAGCUCUAACACAGUCUGCGAAUGACGGUACCUGAAGAAUAAGCACCGGCUAACUACGUG